rnacentral:rRNA from 1 species
UCCUGACUGACCGAUAGUGAACCAGUACCGUGAGGGAAAGGCGAAAAGAACCCCGGCGAGGGGAGUGAAAAAGAACCUGAAACCGUGUACGUACAAGCAGUGGGAGCACGCUUAGGCGUGUGACUGCGUACCUUUUGUAUAAUGGGUCAGCGACUUAUAUUCUGUAGCAAGGUUAACCGAAUAGGGGAGCCGAAGGGAAACCGAGUCUUAACUGGGCGUUAAGUUGCAGGGUAUAGACCCGAAACCCGGUGAUCUAGCCAUGGGCAGGUUGAAGGUUGGGUAACACUAACUGGAGGACCGAACCGACUAAUGUUGAAAAAUUAGCGGAUGACUUGUGGCUGGGGGUGAAAGGCCAAUCAAACCGGGAGAUAGCUGGUUCUCCCCGAAAGCUAUUUAGGUAGCGCCUCGUGAAUUCAUCUCCGGGGGUAGAGCACUGUUUCGGCAAGGGGGUCAUCCCGACUUACCGA